rnacentral:rRNA from 1 species
UACGUAGGGGGCGAGCGUUGUCCGGAUUUAUUGGGCGUAAAGAGCUCGUAGGUGGUUUGGUGAGUCGGAUGUGAAAUCUCCAGGCUCAACUUGGAGGGGUCAUCCGAUACUGCCAUGACUAGAGUUCGGUAGAGGAGUGUGGAAUUCCUGGUGGAGCGGUGAAAUGCGCAGAGAUCAGGAGGAACACCCGUGGCGAAGGCGGCUCUCUGGGACGGUACUGACGCUGAGACGCGAAAGCGUGGGGAGCGAACAGG